UAUGAUUCUUUCUAAUUAUAGACAUUAGCCGAUCUUUCUUUCAAAUAGAAACGGGAACAUUCUAGAUUCUAUUGACGAACUUUUAUUGAUCCUUAUUAUUGAUCAAUAUUAUUCUCCAGAAUGGUAGAUUGACAAUGACUACCAUAUUCAUAUUUAUAUUUAUAUUUAACUAAAAGUUGUCUUUUUUUUUUAAUUGAUCAAAUAUACCCACUAACCAGUCUAUUUCAAUCAUUGUCUCGGCUAAUGAAGGUAAGGAAGAAGCUUUAUAUAUUUUAUAUUUGUCAUAAUUGUUACUUGUUAGCAGUAGUACUAUGGGAAAAUACAUUUCACCCCACGAUAGGUCGGAAAAACUUUAAUUAUCGUAUGUUCAUUGAAAAUAUACACCUGUUAGUUUUCAGGUGAGUUAUCAAAACUUGUUGUCCUUCAAUAUAAGUAAUAUUUUGUCGAACAAUAGAAAAAAUAAAAGACAAAAUAAAAAUAGGUCCAAUGAUUGGAAGAUAAUAUAUAGAAGAGUUAGUGUUGCUCUCUCUCUCUAGCGUGUUCAAGACUUUUGCAUGACUCACAUGACCGCCAUCUCUCUCUAUUUUGUUGUUCUGAUUAUUAUUCCGAAACUGAAUUGGCUCACUUGUGAUUUGCAUAUUCUUCGUUUUAAUAUAUAUGGGCCAACUGUUUUUUGGUAAUUGAGAAUCCAUUGGAAGACCAAUGCGUGAGUGAUUCGAGGCUGUCAAACCUUCCUAAUUACAAGGAAGUAUAUAAAGGCAGCUAUCUAAAAGACUUGAUCUUAUUCAACCAUCUUAGCAUUAUGGGGUUCUUGUUGUGCCCAAAACGAGUUACCAGUCCCUCACUAACAUCAACCACACACACAAGACAAUGAUUUACGUGGUUCGGCCAACAAUGCCUAGUCCACGGGAGGAAUCUGUUAAUCACUAUCAGAAAUGAAUUACAAUAAAUCCAAAGGAGGAGAUCACACUCCACUAACUCUUCUCGCUAUCUCACAGUCUUGCUCUUUCACUCACAGCACCUCACUCACUCUAUACUGCCCUCUUCCUCACUCUCUGUACUUCUCCCGCCUCCCUUCCCCUCUCUGAUCUGCUCUCCUUAUAGAGGAGAUCGGGCCUCCAUUGUUGACAAUCACCGCCGCAUCCUUCUCUCUCUGCCAUUCUUUUCCUUCCCGCCUUCUAAUCAGAGACUUUGUCUCUGACAGAUUGUCAAAUUGAGGCUGCUUCUGGAAGAGAGAUUGAAGGCAAUUGGUCAAGGCAUGGAAGACUUGUGCCUUGGGCUUUCUAUGUGGCUUAAUGGGCUUGCUCCCAUGGCUGAUCCAACAAUCUCCCCUCCAGUCCCAUUGGAGGGUAACUCUGAAAUCUUCAAGUUAAUCCAUCUCUGACACUUCUGUCCGCUCCCCCGUAAAAGAUCUGCAAGACUGCAUCCGAAGAUAUCUUGGCCCUCAUCAAUGGGCAAUGCACUUCCAGACUGAAUGCCUGCACCUUCUUCCUUAGGUGCUCACUCCCCUCACCGGAGGCUCCGCAAAGUACCUCACUUUUCGAGUCCGUCGUGGCCUCUCGCUCUCGCUCCCUGGUGUACCAUCUGAAGAGCUCACUGCCACUAAUCAAAUCGAGAGCAAAAGAGAACUCGUUUUCCGUCGACGUCGCGCCUGUCCGAUUUACAACUUCUUCAGAAUUCGACUUUGUUCUCCUUCCUCUGGACUUUUUCUAUGACAUCCUGCACUGGCGCACUGGUCCUUUUCUGGUCAUGACUUCCGCACGUGUCUCAAAGCAUCUCUUGCGUACCACUCUGGCUCCUCCAGGUGUCUCUGCGCUUGCUUUGUGUGCCUGUGUGCACCUCUGCUUCCCUUGUCCAUUCUUCCGUCUUAUAUCACUGGACCUAUGUCGGACAGCAUCUCUUCCUGUCUGGACAUUCCCCUCCAUUCGAUAUAGUCCUUUGAUCUUCCUUCCCUCGCAUCUCUUUGUUUCCUUGAAAUUUCUCAAGAUUCCUCCCUUAGCUCAAUGCUGCAACCCAUUGAUCUAGCAUUCCGAUGGAAGUAAAUUCUUUCGUAGUUUGGGAACAUGCCGUACCUCGGUCACACGUUUACGACCUCCCGUCUGCCAUGCGGACCACGCGAAAUUUUUUAUAAAUAUAAGUAUAAUAAAAAACCGGACUGUUUCCUUGCCACCACUUUGUUCCGUCGUGUUUUGUUCGCCAUCCGUACAAUCCCUCGCAUGUUGAUAUGUAGAGAACAUCGCCUGUCUCUACAAAAUGGUAGCACUUCCUGAAUCCAAUACCAGUCUGGAUUCUCAUCUGCCGAUGAGACUAGGAAUGCAUCAUUAUCGAUCUUCAUCACUGAUGCCGAUGCUGAUGCUGUCUCUGAAGACUGGAUCUGUGCUUUAUACUUGGGCAAUUUCCUCUUCAUAUGCCCUUCUGAUCACCGAAAAACACUUAAAACGGCGACCCCUUGAUUGGACUCGGCCGUCCUCUCCCAUUAUUCCUCUGUGACCUCGACCUCGUUCCCUCUUCCGUCUGAGAUUAGGGCCUGCGACUCCUUCGCUCUGUCAGCCCAUCCUUCUUCCGUGCUUCUUCGUUGAAUGGGCAUCCUUUUACUGUAUUCAAAGUCAACUUCCCAUCCUUCGCGGAAUUAUACGAGAGAAACACCAAUGUCUCCCAACUCUCAGGUAAAAACUCAGAAGCAGUAGGGCCCAUCUCUCGUCAAAUAUUAGUCAACACUGCUCAAUUGGUGACCAAAUUCUGGAACUCCUUGUAUGUUUCGCCACGGUCCCUCUCUGUAGUUUUCAAAAUUUACAAGCCUCCUCAGUUCAUAAGGCCUUGUUCGAGAUGUCUUCGCUUGGUAACAUCUUCUCAAUUUGGUCCAUACAUCGGAACCCUCGGCUCUUGUGGGCUACGUGGUGGAACCCCUCGUGUCCAAUGCACUGUCUGAUAGCCCGAUGUAUUUUUCUGUCAUCUUCGUCCACCUCCUCAUCCUUCUCUCUGCCGGUUUUUCUCCUUUAUUCUCUAAAGGAUCAUGCAAAUCUUUGCAAAUAGGAUGUCCUUCCAUCCGCGGAUUUCCAUAGAGCGGAAUUUUGUAGCUGAAAGCAUAAUCCAUAGCUCCCCAAAUUAGACUCCGCCAUAUUACUUCUCUAAUAGAAGCAAAAUCUUCGAAAACCGACCCCGCGGAUUGAUCCGGACGCCGAGAAAACUCAGAAUAGGCUUUUUUCGUCAAAAAAUCAUACACUUCUGGGACCCAAAUUGCAUCAAUUGAAACUUAGGGACUAACUUGAAAUUUUCAUUUUUCCAUGGACCUAAUUGCAAUUUCCAAAGUACCAGGGACCAACUGCAAUUUCCCAACUUCAGGACCAAUUGAAAAUAUCAGAAAUUCAGGUACCGAAGUAUUUUUCACUUUUCGGUCACGCUGGUGCUAAGGGCAACGUUGACCAGUCAACGGUCAGCGGCCCUGGUUACGCUGGACUUGACUGGUCCGCGGCUCGGCUGGUCAACUCGGUCAACGUCUCUAGCUUGAUCGUUAACGGCUCGGGUCACCCGGUCAACGACUCUUGGUUUACCGAUCGGCGCUUUCCGCUCUAUUCGCUCGCGCGUGUAUCAAACGCGAGGUUCUGCGCGGCUCGCGCGCGUAUCAGCGCGGCUCACGCCACGGAUCAACUUGCUUCGGCUGAGGCGCGUAGUCAGCGACUUGCCGCCACUUGCUGGCGCGUGCAAGGCGCGUGCGUGGCGGUGAGGCCACGUGGGCGCGCUGGGUUGGCGCGUGGCCGCGCGUCAGGCCUUCUCUAUGCGCUGUUCGGGCGCCGUGGCGCGCGUGGGCGUGAAUCUCAGUCGUCUUCAACUGCCUCUCCCGCGCGCGUGUGCGCGUGGAUCUGAUGCUCCUACCCUUCAUCGGCUCGUGAGGGCUGUUUGGAGUUCCGAUUUUGACUCCGUUUUGGUGCUGGAGCUUCGUAUCGAAGAGACGAGGUGAGGUAUACUCAAAUCUCAGUUUUGAGCAAUUCGAAUUUGGUCAGAAUCUCGAAGAUUUACUCCGGUUGGCACUCCGGUGACUCCGCGGGACUCGAAUUUGGCUCUGAUCCCAAUUGUUGUGCCCAAAACGAGUUACCAGUCACUCGACCAACUCACCCACACACACAAGACAAGAUUUACGGUCGGCAACAAUGCCUACGUCCACGGAGAGGAAUCUUUCCUUCACUAUCAGAAAUGAAAUUACAUAAAUAAAGGAAGGAGAUCACACUCAACUCCCUCUUCUCUCUAUCUCACAGUCUUGCUCUCCGUCACUCACCGCACUCCUCAAUCUUACUGCCCUCUUCCUCACUCCUGUACUUCUCCCCACUCACUUCCUCAUCUCUGAUCUGGCUCUCCAGCCCUUAUAGAGGAGAUCGUCCUCCAUGUGUGACAAUCAUCAUCCGCAUCCGUCUCUCUCUGCCAUUCUUUUCCUUCCUCCGCCUCUAUCAGAGACUUUGUCUCUGACAGAUUGUCAAUUGAGGCUGCUUCUGGAAGAGAGGAUUGAAAGGAUUGGCAGGGCAUUGAAGACUUGAGGCCUUGGGCUUUCUAUUUGGCUUAAUUGGCUGGCUCCAUGGGCUGGAUCCAACAGUUCUUUCUAUUGCACUAGAGUAUCUCUUAAUAAAAUAUUAGUAUAUUCAGGUUUGGUUUUAAGUAUUGACAUUUACGAACUUAUUGAACACACUAAGUUUCUUCCUUUACAAAGUAUUAUACCCAACUCUAAAGGCCAAAGUUAGAAUUAUUUUUCCUUUUUUUUUUUUGGAAUUAGCUAUCUUUUAAGUGGAACAACUUAUGUUUCUACCUGUAGUAUUUUAGUUUGUAUGUUAUCAAUUUUUAAUUUUUUAUUUCUCUUUUUAUUUUUAUUUUUAUUUUUAAUUUUUAUAUUUUUUGUUUUUGUUUUUGUUUUUAUUUUUAUUUUUUAUUUUUAUUUCUAUUUCUGUUUUCCUUUUUUGUUUCUAUUUUUAUUUUCUGUUUUUAUUAUAUUUUUGUCUGUUUUCUGUUUUUAUUUCUUGUUUCUAUUUCUAUUUUCUGUUUUUUUAAUUUUAUUUUUUGCUUUUUGUUUUUUAUUUUAUGUUUUUAUUUAUGUUUUCAGAUUUUUUGUGUUCUCAGUUUUUAUUUUUUAUUCGAUUUUAUUUUUUUAGUUUAGUUUUUUAUGUAUUUUUUUGUUUUUUUGUUUCUAUUUCUAUUUUCAUUUUUAAUUUCUAUUUAUUUUUUUAAUUAUAAUUUUAUGUUUCUAUUUAUGUUUUUAGUGUUUUAUAUGUUCUCAAAUUUUAUUUUUUAUUUUUAUUUUUAUUUUAUAUUUCUAUUUUUUAAUGUUUUUUCAUUGUUUUUUUAUGUUCUCAAAUUUUAUUUUUUUAUUUCUUUGUUUUCUAUUUUAUUUUUAUUUUUUGUUUUAUUCCUAUUUCUAGUUUUAGUUUUAGUUUUCAUUUAUAUUUUUUUUUUCAAUUUUCGAUUAUUUUUCUAAGUCUGUUUUUAAUUUCUUUUUAUUCAUUUUUGUUUUCUUCUAUUUAUAUUUUUUUUCUACUUCCUAAUUUCUUUUUUUUCUACAUCUAUUCCUAUUUAUGUUUUCUGAUUUUAUUUUUAUUUUUAUUUUUACUUUUUGUUUUGUAUUUCAAUUUCUAUUUUAUGUUUUUGUUAUCAUAUAAGAAUAUAAUGGCAGCUAUCUAAAAUAUUUGAUCUUAUUCAACCAUCUCGGCGUGAUGGGGUUCUAUCUAUUGCACUAAGUAUCUGUAUAAAAGAUUGGUAUUCUAGGUUUGGCUUUAGCUAAUGACAUCUAGAGUACACAGCCUAUUGAAACACGCUAUGGUUACUUCCUUUAUAGUAGUUUUAUCAUAGUACUCUAAAACGGCUAAAGUUGAAAUUUUUUUUUCUUUUUUUUGCAAUUGCAUCUUUUAAGAGGACAACUGCUCUUCCUACUGUAUAUUUAGUUUUUAUGUUCUCAAUUUUUUAUUUUUUUAUUUUUAUUUUUAUUCUCUCUUUUUAUUUUCUCACUUUUGUUUAUUUUUUUUUGGUGUUUAUUUUUAUAGUUUUAUUUUUUGUAUUUAGAUUUUUUUAUGUAUUUUUUGUUUUUGUUUUUUCUAUUUCUAUUUUUGAUUCUAUUUAUGUUUUCUGAUUCUAUUUUUAGUUUAUAUUUCUAUUUUUAUUUUAAAUUUCUAUUUAAGAUUUUUAUUUUAAUUUUAUGUUUCUAUUUAUGUUUUUCAGUGUUUUUAUGUUCUCAAAUUUUAUUUUCUAUUUUUUUUCUUAAUAAUUUUAUUUUUAUAUUUUUAUUUCUUUUUAUGUUCUCAUUUUUUAAUUUUUGUUUCUAUUUCUAUUUUUUUGUUUUAUUCUUAUUGCUAUUUUUAUUUUCAGUUUUUUAUUCUAUGGGGGGGGGGGGAGGGGUUUUUUCGUUUUAAUAAUCUUAUAUAUAAUUUUUGUUCUAUUUCUAUUUUAUUUUCUACUUUCUAUUUCCUAUUUUUGUUUUCCUAUUUCUACUUUUAUUUUCUACUUUUUGUUAUGUAUUUCAAUUUCUAAUUUAUGUUUUAAUUUUUUAUUUUAUUUAUGUUUUCAGUUAUUUUAUGUUUUUAAUUUAUUUCAUCUUUUAAUUUCUAUUUCUAUAUUUUUAUUUUUAGUAUUUAGUUUAAGUGUUUAAUUUUCUUUUAUUAUAUAUUUAAUAUUUUUUAUUCAAAUUCUAUUUCUAUUUUUUUUUCUGUUUUUUUUUUUUUUUUAUUUCUAUUUCUAUCUUGCGGGAUCAUAUUCUAUUUUUAGUUUUUAUUUUAAUUAUCUAUUUCUAAAUUUAUUCUUAUUUUGAAUUUUCUUUAAUUUUUAUUUUCUGUUUUUACUUCUCUUUUUCUUUUCUUUUCUUUUUCUUUUUCUAAUUUUUAUUUUUAUUUUUUAAUUCUAUUUCUAUUUGUAUUUCUGUUUAGUUAAUCUACUUCUAUUUUUUGAUUUCAUUUCUAGUUUAUAUUUUUAUUUCUGUUUUUAAUUUUUAUUUUCUAUUUCUAUUUAUUUAUUCAGUCUUUUUUAUGUUCUUAAAUUUUAUUUUUUAUUCCUCUUUAGAGUUUUGUUUUUGUUUUUGUUUUAUGUUUUCAGUUUUUUUUAUCUCAAUUUUUAUUCUAUUUCAGUUAAUAAUUCUCUUUUAGUUUUUUGUUUUCAUUUCUUUGUUCAGUUUUUAUUUUUAUUUCUGUUUAUAUGUAUAUGUAUUUUAUAUUUUUAUUUUGUUUCUGUUUCUGUUUUAUGUUUCUAUUUCUAUUUCUUUUUUAUGAUUCUAUUCCUAUUUCUGUUUUUAGUUUAUAAUUCUAUUUUCAAUUUUAAUUUCUUUUUUUAUGUCCAGUUUUUAUUUCUGUUUCUCUUUUUUUUAAUUUCUACAUUUAUUUUCUCUUUUUAUGCCUAUUUUUGUAUUCUAUUUUUUCUUCUUCUAUUUUUAGCUUUUAUUUCAGUUUUUUUUUCUAUUUCUGUUUCUAUUCUUGUUUUUUUAUUUUUUUAUUUUUUUAUUUUUUAUUUUUUAUUUUUAGUUUUAUUUCAACUUCUAUUUAUAGUUCUUAAUUUUUAUUUUCAAUUUCAAUUUCAAUUUUUUAUUUUUUGGUUUCUUUUUUUGUUUUUUAUUUUCAGUUUCUAUUUCUAUUUUUUUCAGUUUUAUUUCUAUUUCCAUUUAUGUUUUUAGUUUUUUAUUUUAUUUGUUUCAGUAUUUAUUUUCUGCUUUUAAUUUUUAUUUUCAGCUUCUGUUUAUGUUUUUAGUUUUUUUACUGUUCGCAUAGUUUAUUUUCUCUUUCUCUUUCUCUUUCUGUUUUUAAUUUUUAUUUUUAGUUUCUAUUUUAAUUUUUAAUAUUAAUAUUAUUUUUUUAUUUUAGUUUCUUUUUUAUUUCUUAUUCUUUACUCUUUAUUCUUUAUAUCUGUUUUUAUUUCUGUUUUUCUAUUUCUACUUUCGUUUUUGUUUUUUUUUUACAUUUUUUUUAUUUUUUUUUAUUUUUAUUUUUUUAUUUUUAUUUUUUUUUGUUUUCUGUUUUCGUGUUUUACAUUUAAAUCUAUUUUUAAUUUUAAGUUUCUAUUUCUUCAUUUAGUUUCAUGUUUUUAUUUUCAGUUUAUAUUUUUUUGUUUACUAUUUUUUAUCUUUUUCUAUUUCUAUUUUUGUGUUUUAGUUUACAAUUUAUUUUUUUUAGUUUUUUUAGAUGUUCUUAUUUUUUAUUUUUUAUUUUCAGUUUAUAUUUCUCAAUUUGCUUUUAGUUUUUGUUUUUAUUUUUUGGUUUCCUUUUUUAUUUUCAAUUUCUAUUUGUAUUUGUAUUUGCUGUUUUUGGUUUUUGUUAUUUUUUUUAAUUUUUUUUUUUUUGUUUUUAAAAAACUAAUUUCUAUCUCCGAUUUUAUUUUUAUUUUUUAUUUUUUGGUUUUAGUUUAAAAAAAAAAAAAUAUUUUUACAUUUUUUAGUUUUUAAUUUCUAGCGUUUUCACUCUGUUUUUGAUUCCAUUUAUUUUUAUUUUAUUUUUUAUUUUCAUUUUAUUUUUCGUUUCUCAUUUCUAUUUCUUUCUAUUUAUGUUUUUUUUCUAUUUCUGUUUCGAUUUUAUGUUUUCAAUUCAUAUUUCUACUUUUUUGUUUCUAUUUCGAUUUUCUGAUUGUAUUUUUAAUUUUAGUUUUUAUUUCUGUUUUUAGUUUCUCUUUUUUUUUAUUUAAUUUCUCUUUUUUUCUUUUUAUUUUCUUUUUCUAUUUUUUAUCUUUUUCUAUUAGUUUCUAGUUCUAUCUUUUUUCAUUUUUUUUCUAUUUUUAAUUUUUAGAUUUUUAUUUUUAUUUUUUUUCUAGUUCUAGUUCUAUCUUUCUAUUUCUAUUCCUAUUUCUAUUUAUGUUUUUUAUUUCUAUUUUUCAUUUAUUAUGCUAUUUUCAGUUUUGAUUUCUGUUUUCUAUUCUGUUUUUUGUUUUUGUUCCAAACAACUAAUAUAAUAAUUAUUUUUUUUUUUCUACAAACGGAUCUUGAAAUUUUUGAAUAUCGGAUUGAGAAACCCAAAAAAGUGAUUCCAUUCCGAAUUGAGGAUUCUAGCCAUCCAAACAGGACCUCAAUGCUUGGAAGUAUUGUUAGUAUUAGAAUUUUAACGGGUCAUCAAAUGGGGGAUGACUAUCGUAACUGCUAUAAACCCAAGGGGUUGUUUGGCUAUCGGAUUUAGAGGGAAUAACUUUUUUUCCCGUAAUUUUUUCUCGCCGGCGUUUGGGCUGACAGAUAUUGAGGUGGAUAAUUUAUGCCCCCGGAGGUGGAUAAGGCAGAUAUUUUUGGUGGGCCUAAACCCUAACUAAAAGUUAUCCCGGAAGCUAGUGGUCGGAGGAUAAGAAAAAAAUCUAUAAAGAAAAUAAAAUAUAUAAUUUUUUUAUAUAGAAGAGAGAAUACAAUAUAUAUUUUUUUUAUAUCUAAAUCUUUUAUAGUUUGUUUAUCUAUAUAUAUUUCUUCCAUCUCUCCACCCUUAUUCACCCAUUCUAAAAAGCAUCCAAAUAAAAUUAAAAGUUAUCCCCUCUCUAAAAAUUAUCCCAUUCUAAAAGUUAUCCCCAUCCCAUAUUCUUCUGCCAAACAAGCCUUAAAUAGUUGAGCAUCCACAUCAGCCUCAUCAAAUUAGAGCUAAAUUAUAACUUCAAAAUCACAUAAUUUAUUUUAACUAGUCGUUUUUUUAACACUUAAUCUGUUUUUCUAUUUUUCUAUUUUUCUAUUAUUUAUUUAUUAUUCUUUUACUAUUUAUUGAUUCUAUGCUAUAAUUUUUUUUUAACUCCCAUAGUUUUAAUAAGGUUUUUAUUGUGUCCCACGGAAGUAUUUCUUAAAAUAUAUAUUUUUCAAAACAAUCAUACGUUUUUUUAACCAUUAUAUUUCCUUGUCAUGAUAUAAAAAUAUAUUUUGGUACAAGUAUAAGGGUGCAAAAUAUAAUUUACUCUUUUAUAAAUGGUCGACAUAACCAAAAAAAAAUAUAUAUUAAAAAAUAAUAAUAAUAAAAUUAUGGGUUAUUUUAUUUAGUAAAUAUGGAUAAUUUUUAGUGAUUUCACUAGCUAAAUUUUGACGUGAAUA
rnacentral:lncRNA from 1 species